rnacentral:rRNA from 1 species
UACGUAGGGGGCAAGCGUUGUCCGGAAUCAUUGGGCGUAAAGCGCGUGUAGGCGGCCAGAAAAGUCCGCUGUGAAAACUCGAGGCUCAACUUCGAGCUGUCGGUGGAAACUUUCUGGCUAGAGUCCGGAAGAGGAGAAUGGAAUUCCUGGCGUAGCGGUGAAAUGCGCAGAUAUCAGGAAGAACACCCGUGGCGAAGGCGGUUCUCUGGGACGGUACUGACGCUGAGACGCGAAAGCGUGGGGAGCGAACAGG